UGCAGUCGACGAUGAAAUCACUUCGGUGGUGGAUUAGUGGCGAACGGGUGAGUAACACGUGGGCAAUCUGCCCUUCACUCUGGGACAAGCCCUGGAAACGGGGUCUAAUACCGGAUACCACUUCGUCCCGCAUGGGACGGGGUUGAAAGCUCCGGCGGUGAAGGAUGAGCCCGCGGCCUAUCAGCUUGUUGGUGGGGUAAUGGCCUACCAAGGCGACGACGGGUAGCCGGCCUGAGAGGGCGACCGGCCACACUGGGACUGAGACACGGCCCAGACUCCUACGGGAGGCAGCAGUGGGGAAUAUUGCACAAUGGGCGAAAGCCUGAUGCAGCGACGCCGCGUGAGGGAUGACGGCCUUCGGGUUGUAAACCUCUUUCAGCAGGGAAGAAGCGCAAGUGACGGUACCUGCAGAAGAAGCGCCGGCUAACUACGUGCCAGCAGCCGCGGUAAUACGUAGGGCGCAAGCGUUGUCCGGAAUUAUUGGGCGUAAAGAGCUCGUAGGCGGCUUGUCACGUCGGAUGUGAAAGCCCGGGGCUUAACCCCGGGUCUGCAUUCGAUACGGGCUAGCUAGAGUGUGGUAGGGGAGAUCGGAAUUCCUGGUGUAGCGGUGAAAUGCGCAGAUAUCAGGAGGAACACCGGUGGCGAAGGCGGAUCUCUGGGCCAUUACUGACGCUGAGGAGCGAAAGCGUGGGGAGCGAACAGGAUUAGAUACCCUGGUAGUCCACGCCGUAAACGUUGGGAACUAGGUGUUGGCGACAUUCCACGUCGUCGGUGCCGCA
rnacentral:rRNA from 1 species